GUAAGAAUGCCAGAGAAUUUAUAUGGGAUUGGUUUAGGUCCGAUUUAUAGUGGUGUCACUUUCUUAUU
rnacentral:tRNA from 3 species